AAGUUCCCCUCGAAGUCAGGGUCCUUUUGGGGCCAGAGAGCUGCCACAGGGGCUGGAUUCCACUUACCCUCUGUGUGAGAUUCCUGGGGCUGUGGUGACAAAGUGCUGAAGACGGGGUAGCUUCAGCGGCAGCCUGAUUACCUCUGUGAUGAUCCUGUCUCAUCACGGGGACCCUCACACCACUGCAGAGAGGCGAGAAUGUGCACAGGGG